rnacentral:lncRNA from 1 species
CUGGGAAGUCAUUAGUUUAGGUAUACUACUCUCCUUUCGUAGUCUAGUCCUACCGACAGAUAGAUUGGUCAUCUACUCUACUCUUAAGGAGGAUAGUUUACCUAACAUAAUAAUGACUUCACGGUUCAGCUAACAAGCAGGCUAACCAAAGAUAUUUCCUUUACAAACACACUCAAUGAAUUCUGCUGUAAGACUCCAGCAUAUUAGCAACAACAGAAACCUUCAAGGUAGCACUUACUUAAUUUGUGCUCCUUGAUACUGAAUUCAUAAAAAG